rnacentral:lncRNA from 1 species
AAAAUUUGACCCGUGACCCAGGUCAAAGGUUUGACCCUAAGGGUUCCUCCUAUUCCACGUUGGUAGUCAACCAAAACACUCUUGAUUUUCUUUUUUUUUUUCACAUACAUCCCACUAGAAUUCUCAUAAACUACAAUAUCCCAAAACUACUCAAAACAACUCCAAAAAUAAAAGUUCACAAUUAAACAACUUAAUCAAAAUAAGGCUUCAUAACAAAUCCAUAAGUCAUAAUUACUAAAACAAAUCCCAAAAUCCAAAAAAACAUAAUAAAAGAAAAUGCCACGCUCCACUAGGCCGCUCCAGGAGCAUCCUGAAGUCCUCCCUGCCCCACCUGUGGAUCCUCAGGAAUGAUAUCUGCAUUUAAAAAGGUGUAAAAAAGGAAAGGGUGAGCAUUUCCACAUUGCUCAGUAGGAUGCCUAACGCCCAAGGGGUUAAGGGGAUUACUAAGUUCCAAAGAAUACGAAAAGAACACUUCAACACAACAGGAACAAUUCAAUAGUAUCAAUCAAACCACAUAGUUUAAUAUCUAAUAUUAUACACAAUUUCACAAAAUUCAACAAUUAAAUGAAUGCACAUGAACGUGUGACACACAGUUAUACAAUGCAUUAUUGUUCUCGGGCUUUCACCGAAAGAUACGCAUCCGCACCCAAAUGCACUCCCCAUUCGGAGUCUUCCUGGGGUAACUUUUAGGUCUUUCACCCUAAGGAUCUCUCUCCCUUCUUAAUUCGCCUCAUACGGGCUUUCACUUUUCAUCACUAUUUCAUUUUUUUCCAUUUCAUACACUUUUCACAAUUUUCAUAAUUUUUUUCGCAUAACCAUGAUGCAAAUGAAUGCCACAAUUCCAAAGUUCCUCAAUAAUUUCAACAAUCUCAACAUUCCCCAAUAAUCCAAUAAAAUAAUUUUCCACAUUAAAAUUUCCGAAAAUAUCCCAAAUAAAUAUUCAAAAAUUUGCAUAUCAAUAAACUUAAAAUUAUACCACACUUACGGAAUUUUUCAACCAUUCUAAUAAUUUCUAAUAUUCGAAAUCAACUAACUUUCCACCAUAAAAAUUCUGAAAAUAUUCUAACCAAUGCCCAAAAAUUCACAAAUCACUAUUUUUGAAAUUAAACCCUAAUUUCGGAAAUUUUCAACCCUUCUAAUAAUUUUUAAUAUUCGAAAUUAACUAACUUUCCACCAUAAAAAUUUCGAAAAUAUUCUAACCAAUGCCCAAAAAUUCACAAAUCACUAUAUUUGAAAUUAAACCCUAAUUUCGGAAUUUUUCAACCCUUCUAAUAAUUUUUAACAAUUCAAAACAAUUAAUUAUCAACCAAAGGCAAUUUCCCGCAAUUACAAAAAUUCCAAACAAAUUCCAAAUAAUCCAGAAAAAUUCAUACAACACCCAUAUUUCCUACUUAACUCAUAAUGACAAGAUUUACAAUUUUUUUCAAAGGAAACACAUUAAAUUUAAGUUUUAGGGUUAGGUUCCCCUACCAGAGAUCUAAGAAUUCAACCAUUAAAAACACGAUUGGCCACCGUAGGAUUGUUCCUCUCGUCGAAUAGAGCACCCCCUCAAAAUCUGAGUUGAAACGGAGGUCGUUUGGCCACCCAAAUGGUCGGUCAAAGUUCCGGCGAGAUGAAAUUUCCCACAGUGCCACUGCGCCUCCAUUUCUCAC